rnacentral:lncRNA from 1 species
CGAUAAAUAGCUCUGGCGGUAGAAAAGGGCAUCGGCCUAGAUUGGGAAGACCCGCAACAAGGCCGUAGCCCCUUCGCCGUCAGGCACGGCACUGGUCGCCGGCGCCGCCCACUUCGACUCUACGCCAUGGGACGGACGCGCCACGGGCAUCAGUCGGGGAAAAGCUUGCUGUGCUGCCCCCAAUCUCUCGUCCAUAUCCGGUUUCGAGGCGGAGGCCGAUUGGGAGGGGACGGAGGUGCUGCACCUCGCGGACAAAUCGAGGAACAGCGCCGAGAGUUAGGUAUGUCACAUGUGAUUGCAUUUCUGCUCUUUCAUAGCUCAGGUCCUCAGGCGCCAACUCGCAUACCAUGGCACAAUAAUGUCGUGUUAGUCCACAAAUUCCGGAGAUGCCAGGAUAAUUUGGUAGAACAAACGAGUACUUUGAUUUGAAUCCAUGGCCUAGCGAGAUAGAUUGGGGAAUAAAAGGCGGAAUUCUUAAGCGGCAGUGUGUAAACAGACCACUUGACCUAGGAUUGGCGUGGACUUAAUGUACGAGCACCGAUUAACCGACCACAAAGUUCUCAAAUGGAAGGAGAUGCUUCAUGCCUGAAAACUAUUGCCGGUAGUAAACGAGCAGUACUAGAAACAGAAAAUGAUACAAUUACUGAAUUCCACUCUACGGAUGAUCAAUGACGAUGCCGUUAAUCAAAUUACAAAACAUUAUCUAAGCCGAUGCAACAAUAACACAGUAGGCGUUCCCCUUUCACCGUCCAGAUAAGAGGCUCAUUUGUGACAUCCCAUUGGUAUGGCCAGACUGGAAGGAGCUCCCCUCGUUGCUUGCUCCUGAAAUCAUCAGCUGGAACUGCCUUGGAAUUUCACUAUCCAUGGAGUAGGUACGUCGAGGGGUCGCAGAAGCAGACUGCUUUUCACUUGAAACCGCUGGCAACAACCCUUUGAGCCUCGUGGCAACCACAGUCAUGGUUGGCCUGUCGAUGGCUGCGUUUUCCACGCAGUUCAUGGCAAGGUCCACCACACUCUGCAGGGAACUGGCAUCAUACUGAUCCAGCAGUCUCUUAUCUACAACAUCACGAAUGCUUCCCAUAGCUAUCUUUUGACGCACCCAAUUUGGUAGGUGGACGGUUUGAGGGUCCAUUAAUAGUGGGGGUUGUCCGGUGAUGAUCUCCAAGAGCACGAUGCCGAAGCUGUAAACGUCUGUCUUGACAGUGAUUUGGUAAGAUGCAUGGUACUCGGGGUCGAUGUACCCAGGAGUGCCAGCAGCAGCAGCAGUAGAUAUGUGCGUGUGAGCAUCGUUAAAAGCCCGCGAAAGCCCAAAAUCAGAUAUUAUUCCCACCAGAUUCUUGUCCAGAAGGAUGUUGGGGGUCUUGACAUCUCUGUGCACGAUUGACGGGGUGCAUAACUCAUGUAGAUACUCCAGUCCUGCAGUUUAUUCAAACCAACACACACAUACAUGACCUAGAAAAGAAGAAAACACACACAUACAUAAAUGGCCUAAAGGCAAACACACAACUGAAAUGCAGACCUUGUGCAGCAUCAAGUGCAAUAUGGAGUCGUUGUUCCCAAUUCAAACUAUAGUCACCUCCUGCACCAGUACAUACCAAAUUAAUGUGAGUUCCAUUUGAUUUGUUCAUGGUACUAGCAUAAAUAUCAAUUUCUAUAAUUUUUGCACAUAUCUAAGCUAACUAAUACAUGCACUUUGAUCUUCAAGAGAUAACUGCUUUUCCUACUCUCUACCGGAGCAUUUUUAUGUACAAAUCUAAUCAACGAGCGAACCAAGUUAUUGACAUAUUCUUUGAAUACAUACCUCUCUAGUUUCUGGUUUGUUGCUGGCUUUGAAAGAUGUACUUGUUUACAAUUUGUGGCUAUCAUGCUAUGUUUAGGACCUAUGACUAAGAAUGUAAAUGUGGCAGCCCCAAUUGUUUACCUGAUAUUUAUGAUCAUGCCAUGACUAUGACAUUAACAAUAUGCAGCUCUAUGAAUGCAGCUAUGGUGGCCGCAAUUGUUAGUACAGUAUGUAUACGGAGUAAAUUUGGUCUACGAACUCAACUAUAUUGAAUAGCAGCAGUAACACUUUAGUCAAUCAACUACACCUUUAACAUGGAAUUCGGUUUAACAUGAAAAUCCUGAUUGCCGUACAAUGUCAAAGCCAGAUUAGCUUGGUUUUAUAGUUUAUAUUUUUAUAUGAAGACUAGAUCAUGUCAAAUUAGUGAUAAUAAUUAACUGCAAGUCUAAGUCAGCUAUGCUUGAUAGGAACACUAAUAAAAGUUAAAGGGGAAAACCACCUCUUAAAAGCUGUUGAAGAUUUCCUCUGGGCAUGAAAUCAUAAACGAGUGCUAGGCAUUUCUUGUUUUGGCAAUAUCCUUGCAAAGUCACGAGAUUCUUGUGAUGAACUUUCGACAAGGUUUGCACCUGCGAUAAUUGAUAUAGUUACCAAACAUCCUAGACUUGAAGCCAGUUGCAUUAUUUUAUCGAAAUGGACUGUGGAAAUGGUUUUGUAUGUUUUGCAACCUUAAUUUUUUCUUGAAGAAAGUAAUGACGUGGCCUAGUUGGUUUUGUGUUAUACCUCGGGGAGGAAGUCUGUUGACUCUGCUAUUGAUUUCUCCAUAAGCACCUUAACAGCUACUUCAUCGUCAUUUUCCAGUGUGCCAUGAUAAACAGUACCAAAACCUCCUUUUCCAAUGAUUGAUUGGAAGUCGUUUGUUAUGUGCUUCAGUUCUGUGUAUGUGAACCGUCUGAUAUCAAUAUGUAGUGGAGUUUCCUCUUCAUACAUAGAAUCUUCAUCAUCUCCCGACUUCCCUACAGAGUCAAGAAGUUGUUUUUUACAUGGAAGUUUAGGUACGAAGCUGCUGUCUUCUGUCUACCACCUAUUGCAUUGAUGAAAGGGAAAUUUAGAGCAUAAAAUUUCGUUUUACCUUUCCAGUAUAACUUCCAGAGUAUGCCCAUCACUACUAGGAGGGAUACCAGUACCACAGGAACUAUCACUGCGAUAAGCAUGGUAGAUGUGGUGUUCUUCUUCUUUGAACAGUACGUAUCUUUUACGUUUGAGCAUACAGGAUUGCCUUCUAAUCUAGUAAUACAAUUAAAUAUCAUGCGUAAAAAAUAAGCUCAAAAGAUCUCAGCUUCUCUAUAAAGCUAUGAUUAAUUGAUUAUAAAACACCUCUAUAUUCUAACACAACUAACUUGCUAAUAGUGCUUCUAAACAUCUCUAUCCUCCGAAAGAACAAACUACAUGGUUUCUAAAUCAUGUGCAGUUACUAAUAGGUCAUUAUCUACCUCUUAUUUUGAAUGCCCAUAGAUGACAAAAGUAUUUAUAGUCACUAGAUGCUAGUACAUGUAAUUAAAGGCACAUUUGGAUCGAUGAAAUGCACAGGGAAGUGUGUCUCGAAGAUCUUUUUGUGGCACUCUGAUUGGCCACCACAAUUUGGUAAAAUUUACCAAAAGUUUAUGUAUAUGCCAAGUGGGGAUGCUCUGGCAUAGUGCUAGCAAAGUGUGGCACGCCACAAGUAUGCCAACUUUAUGCUGAGCCUACUCCUUUUAGGUGUAGUUUUUUAGUUUUAAGAAGAAAAAAACCAGUAAGGAAUUGUGCAAUGGAGCAUGGCAAAACCUUAAGUCCAGCAAUCCGGCCUGAAAUCUUUGAAGAAUAGAGUCAGAGAUUGGUCCAUCUAGCUUGUUAUUUGACAAGUCACUGAAAAAUAAUAGUAAAAAUCAUUCAUCUAAAAUUUAUACCAUCAACCACAAUUGUAAUCAGCACUACCAUCAACCACAGAUGUAAUCAGCAUGUAGACUUACAGAAAUUUAAGUGACUUCAAUUGAUAGUCUGGAAUAGCUCCCGUCAAAUUGUUGUGUGAUAAAUCCCUAUAUAUAUUUCGUUAUUAUGGUCACAAAAGAUGUCAAAAUAAUUUCAUUGAGCCCAUCAAUAUUAUGUGCUGGGCACCACUUACAAGUUUUCAAGCGAUGUCAUGUUCAUGAAUGAUAUGGCAAAUCCACCCCUCAGUCUGCUGGUAGACAGAUUUCUGCAAAACCAACUCAUUUGAAUACAAGUCAUCUUAAUCUAGUGAUAGCAUUGAGCUAACAUGGAUUUUGAAGAUUAUGUAAAUAUCUUUAUGUGCUUUAGGUCUACACUAAAUUACGUGUGCUUUCAGGUUUCAACUAAAUUACGUGUGUUUUCAAGAUCUUAGCCUAAGACACGUGGCUGAGUUUCUUCCUAGUGAUAUAUGUAUAAAAACAUGAACAUAUCUGGAGCAACAUGUAAACCAAAAGGAGCUUUUGCGGGAGCGUUAAAUUGCUUGGGGUUGAUGCAAUGCACUUCAAAGGUUUAGAAAGAUUGAAUUGGAAUGUUUAGAGACUUCAAAAUGUAUAUGAUAUCAGCCCUGGUUAUGCUCUUACACUGUGACAAUCCUUGGAUUCUGGUUGCUCUUAGAGUAGUCGCAAGUCAAACCUUCCCAAGAAUACUCUCUUGGGGAGCAUGGAUCUCCAUUCCAGUUUCUUUGUGCCAAAUUGUAGUGUGUCUUGACUUCUUUUAUGUACUUGUCUACAACCGCAAAAGACAAAGGAAACAAAUAUGUAUGGCUUAAAGUAGCUGUAUAAGUUGGUAUGGGGGGCUUACAUUAUAUUAUAAAAAAUGAAAAACAUUGCUUAAGAAGUUGCAAUAUCAUUGCAUAUAUAUUCAAGCAUUAUCUUAUCAUAGAACUGAUAAUUGUACUACUCAUUUAUCAACUAUGGUCUUCCCAUGGCACAUUGGCAUCAAUUGACCUUAAGAAGACGGCUUACUCAGGAGUUGAGUGUACAACUAAUCAGUUGGUUGAUAAACUUAAUCCUAUUACUCUAGUAAAGAUCGUGACAAUGUCAACUGGAGUUUGUUAAUCUUUAGGGGUCUAGACAGUGAGACCUCGGUCAUUAGCAUUGGCAACUGCAUGAUGAUCAUGUGAAUCUACCACAUAGAUGGCAAAUGUCUAAUGCAUGUGCUGUAUAUAAAUGGGCCAUUUGCAUUUCUGCCCCUAACUCGAACCACCUACUCAGAUUUGCCCCUAAUUUCAAAGCAUGCUCAAAUUUGCCCCUCUGCCGUUAAGUCACUACUCAGAAAUGCCCUUCCGUCCAGUCAAAGGCCUUUGACCGUCAAAGGCCCAUGUGUACUGUAGCAGACGGAAAGUGCUACAGUAUUGGACGGAAAGUGCUACAGUACUGUACGGAAGGGCAUUUCUGAGUAGUGACUUAACGGCGGAGGGGUAAAUUUGAGCAUGCUUCAAAAUUAGGGGCAAAUCUGAGUAGUGGGUUCGAGUUAGGGGCACAGAUGUAAAUGUCCCUAUAUAAAUUGAUCUUACCAUCGGCGGAGUCGGUGGUGAGAUUAUCCAUCCGGACGAGUGAGUACACCUCCAAAGCGUUGAUGAGCGGCGGUAGACUCGAGCUGGGUGUCUUGCUCAAGUUGAAGAAUGCAUCGGCGUGCAGGAACUCCCCGCUCUUGUACUUGCUGUCCAUCUGGAAUCGCAGCGGGGAGAAGUCUGGGAACAAUAAAUCUUCGGCGUUGUAGAUGUUGAACCUCCUGCUCAGGUUCCUCUCGUUGAUAUCGGCAAAGUGAAAGAUUGGGAGAAGCUGUAGGCUCUUGCCAUCUUGAUUGCGACCCGUUGCCACGAUGAUGCUCAUGUGGGAGUAGUUUGUGUCUAUGGUCAACGCCUUCUGGAAGAUGUCCGACGGCACGUUGAAGACGUUGUCGAGGCUCUUCACUUUAUUGUUCGUGUUCAGGUUGAUCCAGGGGUAGGAUGUAUCGGGCCACCUCUGCCAGAACCGGUCAUAAUUGUCCGUUGGAUAUCUUCAUCGCACACAAAGACAAGGAAAACAGAUAAAUAGAUAGCAGAGUACGCUAAUCUUUGGUUUUUACCUGAAGGCACUUAAUAUGGGAUCUAGCAAUCCCAACUUCUUAUCACCUUUCUCUCUCUAAAAAAAGGAACUUCUUAUCACCUUGAGGUUUACUAUUAAGUUUUGUUAGAAGUGAUUGCAGGAUUCAGAAAACAAAGGACCAAACAUUUUAAACGUGUUAAGCUAGCAAACUAAAUUAAAAUUGAGGCAUAUUUCAGAUAUAAUCCAAUAUUAUGUAUGGCAGCCUCAUCAGCGUCGAGUUGUCGACUCGUGGGCUGAUCCACAUUCAGGACAAGUAGUUGUUUUAGGUUGGUGUGUGGAUGGUCGUUGCGUAUGUAACGCGGUGAUUAUGGACGGGCUAUGUACCAUUGUACCCCUUCUCAUUUAAUAAGUACUUAUAUGAUAUGCAUGCUUAUGUGUAUCCUAGAAAAAGGACGAUAAUGCUUGUUGUAUACCUUGCCUGUCGCCUGAUAUGUUUGGUGUGUAGUGCAGGCCUUUUGGAUGGUCGUGUCGUGUACUCCCUCCGUCCAGAAAUACUUGUCAUCAAAAUGAAUAAAAGGGAAUGUAUCUAGACGUAUAUUAGUUCUAGAGACAUGUCUUUUUAUCCAUUUUGAUGACAAGUAUUUUCGGACGGAGGGAGUAUAUAUGCUGGAAUUGUGGAAGUUAAUUUGGGUCGUUCCUAGGUGCUGUAGGAGGGCACACUAGUUGUUGUGAGGGUGUUUUGUGCAUGAGGUUGUUGACUGAUCUGUUUAAACUAAUCUUUUUACCUUUCUGCACUUUGUUUUUAAUUUCCAGACUUGGAUGUGUUCCAUUAUUUUGAUAACUGUUCCAUUAUCGUUGAUUAUGGAACCCGAUACUUUUCGAGGAUCGUAUGGAAAAAAAAAUCAAUAAUUGAUCCAGAGCAGUGUUGCUUGCAUGGGGAAAAACAAGUAUGGCAGCAUCGUCUCACCUUGUGAUAGGGUCGGUGAUGUUGCCAAAUCUGAACCGUUGAAAGUAGCUGAUUGACACAGAAGUAUUGACGAAAGGGUACAUCGUAUCUUCUAGUGGCCUCAGCUCCAACGCAGAUAUGAAGGGAGUCCCUGAACCAAAGUUUAUCAGGCAGACGGACACGGCGUUGCUCGGAGCAACGGUGAUCACCUCCUUCCACACGGUGUCUGAUGGAUCCGUAUUUGUCAAGUUCACCGACUCCCAGAAAUUGACCCCGAUGUGGAGCCCAAACAGAAAUGGUGACCCGUCCAUAGUCUUGUUCAACCCGUCAUAAUUGCCGUAAGUGAACAAGGCCCUCAGUAGAUACUUCUUACCAAUGAUGGAUGCCAGUGUAUAGCAAUUCCUUGGGCCGUCAGGGAAGCUCCUCAAGGUUUUUUGUUGCUCAUUUGCUGCGCCAGCCAUGAACUCCUCCGAAAUUUCAUGGCUCAAACCGCCCUCGACAGAUUCACCAUCGAAACGGUACACUAUUCUGGUGGUGUUGUCGAUGUAGGCACUGCUGUUUGUCCAUCCACAAUCGAUGUUUACGAACCCUGAAAGACGGUGAGUAUGCAUCAGUUUCAUGUGCUUCAAGUUUAAGAUGCAUACUAAAUCAUUGAUCGCGACAUGUAUGGCUAGACAUGCAGUAGCUACUAAUCUGUUGAUUUCUGAGAUUUCAGUAAAGUGAGAUUUCUCAAGUUGCACGCUGAAGUAAACUGAACUGUGCGUGCAGAUGGAGUACUGGGCAAACGCUAGGAGGAUAUGGCAUGCAUUUACCAGCGGUAGGGGGCUGCGCUCGGACUUGAAUCAUCGUGGCCAGGAUGAGAAGCAGC